GAUGAACGCUGGCGGCGUGCCUAAUACAUGCAAGUCGAGCGAACAGACGAGGAGCUUGCUCCUCUGACGUGAGCGGCGGACGGGUGAGUAACACGUGGAUAACCUACCUAUAAGACUGGGAUAACUUCGGGAAACCGGAGCUAAUACCGGAUAAUAUAUUGAACCGCAGGGUUCAAUAGUGAAAGACGGUUUUGCUGUCACUUAUAGAUGGAUCCGCGCCGCAUUAGCUAGAUGGUAAGGUAACGGCUUACCAAGGCAACGAGGCGUAGCCGACCUGAGAGGGGGAUCGGCGACACUGGAACUGAGACACCGUCCAGACUCCUACGGGAGGCAGCAGUCUGCAAUCUUCCGCAGUGGGCGAAAGCCUGACGGAGCAACGCCGCGUCAGUGAUGACGGUCUUCGGAUCGUAAAGCUCUGUUAUUAGUGAAGAACAAAUGUGUAAGUAACUGUGCCCGUAUUGACGGUACCUAAUCAGAAAGCCCCGGCUAACUACGUG
rnacentral:rRNA from 1 species